GGAAGUGGUAGCUCAGUGGUUAAGAUGUUGGACUCCUGAUCGGAAAGGUUGAGAGUUCAAAUCCCAGCACUGCCA